rnacentral:misc_RNA from 1 species
AAGUCGUAACAAGGUUUCCGUAGGUGAACCUGCGGAAGGAUCAUUAAAAAAUUAAUGAAUGUCGGAGGGUGUUCGGGUUUUUACCUGUCGCUCUCUGUGUAUUCAACCAACCCGCUCUUGUAUUUGGAUCAACCAAAAAUUAACAAAAUACUUAUCAUAAUAAAAAUAAACUUUCAACAACGGAUCUCUUGGCUCUC